UCGAGGAACGGACAGACUAACAGGAUCCCUAGUACUGCGAGUGAAGCGGGAAAAGCUCAAAUUUAAAAUCUGGCGGUUCUGCCGUCCGAGUUGUAAUUUAGAGAAGCGUUAUCCGCGCUGGACCGUGUACAAGUCUCCUGGAAUGGAGCGUCAUAGAGGGUGAGAAUCCCGUCUUUGACACGGACUGCCAGGGCAUUGUGAUGCGCUCUCAAAGAGUCGAGUUGUUUGGGAAUGCAGCUCAAAAUGGGUGGUAAAUUCCAUCUAAAGCUAAAUAUUGGGGAGAGACCGAUAGCGAACAAGUACCGUGAGGGAAAGAUGAAAAGAACUUUGGAAAGAGAGUUAAACAGUACGUGAAAUUGUUGAAAGGGAAACGCUUGAAGUCAGUCGCGCCGUUCAGAACUCAGCCUUGCUUUGCUUGGUGUACUUUCUGUUCGGUGGGUCAGCAUCAAUUUUGGUCGGUGGAUAAAGGUUCAGAGAAUGUGGCAUCUUCGGGUGUGUUAUAGCUCUGGGUCGCAUACAUCGGCUGGGAUUGAGGAACUCAGCACGCCGCAAGGCCGGGUACUUGUACCACGUACGUGCUUAGGAUGCUGGCAUAAUGGCUUUAAUCGACCCGUCUUGAAACACGGACCAAGGAGUCUAACAUGCCUGCGAGUGUUUGGGUGGAAAACCCGAGCGCGUAAUGAAAGUGAAAGUUGAGAUCCCUGUCGUGGGGAGCAUCGACGCCCGGAGCAGACCUUUUUGUGACGCAUCCGCGGUAGAGCAUGUAUGUUGGGGACCCCGAAAGAUGGUGAACUAUGCCUGAAUAGGGGCGAAGCCAGAGGAAACUCUGGUGGAGGCUCGUUAGCGAUUCUGACGUGCAAAUCGAUCGUUCGAAUUUUGGGGUAUAGGGGGCGAAAGACUAAUCGAAACCAUUUGAAAUUGGCUUACUUGGGUGGAUUGAUAGGCGGUUGAAGACCAUUGCCUUAGUAUGUGUUGAGGAUUGCCGACACCGAUCCAAUUGCCGGGGAACCUUCCAUUAGAGGCCUUUUGGCCUUAACCGG
rnacentral:rRNA from 1 species